rnacentral:lncRNA from 13 species
GGAGAAUCAUUUGAGCCCAGGAGUUCAAGACCAUCCUGGGCAACAUAGCAAGGCCCCAUCUCUAAAUUAAAAAAAAUAAAAAUUAAAAUGUCAUUUGAUCCUGGAAGUCUCACACAUUAUAAAGGAAAUAUUUAAAUAAGGCUCUUUAGGUUACUUGAAACACUCUUUGGCUUGGCUUAGCUUGGCUGAAAUGAACAUUGUAUUAUGUUGAAGAGUACUUUGUUCUGCUAAUAUAUAAUAUUAUAUAUGUACUACUGCUUUAUGAAUUAAUUGUUUCAUGGAUGUUGGCUUAUAUCCGCAACUAGGUUAAAAAUAGCAGUGGGCAGGAGCUGUGUCUUAUAUUCCUUUUGUAUUCUCCAUGGUAUCGAACAUAAUGUGAAAAUAAGGCUGCAUUUGGAAAGAAGAGGAAAAACACAAGACCAGUGAGAGAGAAAGCACCAGAGAAUGAAAAUCUGAAAGGAGACUAGGGAUGCUUCAGCCUAGAAGAACAAUCUAGGGCUGGACUUAAAGGUCUGAGGUCUGAAGACCCUGCAACAUGUCCCCUUCCAAAAGAAGCUGUUACAGGUCUGGGUCUCAGCUCCUGAGGACCGUCUCCCAGAUUUCUGAGGCACCAGCAUUAUCAGAGCAACAGUCGCUCCUCAGAGGUCUGAAUUCCCGUCUGUAGCGACCCACUCUCCAAGCCUUUGUUCCAUAUCUGGCUAGCAAUUCUUGUUACUACAUUCUCUCUGUUAAACCAACCGGGGUGAUUUCUGUCUUCCUACUGUAUCCUGACCAACACAGCUUCCUCAAACAGUAAGACUGGGGUCAAUGUUAAUCUUCAUAAAAUGCACAUGGCUGGUUGCUGAAAAUUUUGGGCAGAUAAGAGGGAAAAAUGUGUUCAAGUUUUUGUGUGAAUAUGUUUUCAUUUCUGUUGGGUAAAUACCGAGGAGUGGAAUGGUUGGGUCACAAGGUAUUGGUUGAACUGUUUAUGAAGCUGUCAAAAUAUUUUCCGAAGUAGCUGCACCAUUUAACAUUCCUGCCAGCAACACAUGAGGAUCCCAAUGCUUUACAUACUCUCCAAUACUUAGUAUUGUCACUCUAUUUUAGCCAUCCUGGUGGACGUGUAGAUGACAUCUCAUUGUGAUUUUAAAUUUCAUUUCCCUAGCGACUACAUUGAGUGUCUUUUCAUAUACUAAAUGCCUUUUGGAGGUGCAUUUUGGUGAAAUAUCUGUACAAAACAUUUGCCCACCUUUUAUUAGAUUACUUAUCUUCUUGUUGUAAGAACUAUUUACAUAUUCAAGAUAUCCAUCUGUGUUUGGCAAAUAUUUUCUCCCAGUUUGUGGCUUGCCUUUUAAUUUUCUUAACAUUUUGAAAAGCAAAAGUUCUACAUUUUGAUUAAUUAUUAUUAUUAUUUUUUGAGACAGAGUCUUGCUCUCGUUGCUCAGGCUGGAGUGCAGUGGUGCAAUCUCAACUCACUGCAACCUCUGCCUCCCGGGUUCAAGUGAUUCUCCUGCCUCAGCCUCCUGAGUAGCUGGGAUUACAGGUACCCACCACCACACCUGGCUAAUUUUUGUACUUUUUAGUAGAGAUGGGGUCUUGCCAUGUUAACCAGGCUGGUCUCUAACUCCUGACCUCAGGUGAUCUGCCCACCUUGGCCUCCCAAAGUGUGCCUGACCUUAAUUAAUUUAUUUUUAAAAACUCUUUUCAAAACUCAAGAUCACUAAAUUCUCCUAUUGUAGAAAUGUUAUAGUUUUGGCUCGUAUAUUUAAGGAUUCAUUUUGAGUUAAAUUUAGUGGAUAUUGUGAGAUAAAGAUUCAGGUUUUGUGGUUUUUUUUUUUUUUUUUUUUUGGAACUGACACUCCAGUUGUUUCAGAACCAUUUCUUUGAAUGAUUAUCUCUUUUUUUUUUUUUUGAGAUGGAGUUUCAUUCUUGUUACCCAGGCUGGAGCGCAAUGGUGAGAUCUCGGCUCACCGCAACCUCCACCUCCUGGGUUCAAGCAAUUCUCCCGCCUCAGCCUCCUGAGUAGCUGGGAUUACAGGCACGCGCCACCAUGCCCAGCUAAUUUUUUUUGUAUUUUUAGUAGAGACGAGGUUUCACCAUGUUGACCAGGAUGGUCUCGAUCUCUUGGCCUCAUGAUCCACCUGCCUCGGCCUCCCAAAGUGCUGGGAUUACAGGCUUGAGCCACCGCACCCAGCCUUGAAUGAUUAUCUCUAUCCCAUUGAAUUGCCUUGGAUCUUUGUCAAAAAUCUAUUGGUUACACGUGUGUGUAUUUUAUUUCUAGAGUCUGUAUUCUGUUCCGUUGAUUUAUAUGUCCAUCUUGAUACUAAUAUGACACUAUUUUGAUUACUACAGCGUAACAGAAAGUCUUAAAAUGAGUUAGUAAGUUCUUCAACUUCUUUUUCAACAUUGCUUUGGCUACUCUGGUUUCUUUGCAUUUCCACAUACAUUUUAAAAUUAGCUUGUCAUGUUUAUAAAAAUAAAGUCUGUUGGGAUUUUAAUUGGGAUGUCCUU